UAAUGAUGGUGAGGGUAAUUUCUGAGCAUACUCUUAAAUCUCCCAAACUUGGUAGAGAUUCUCUCCUUGUUUUUGUGUGAAAAUUAGAAUUUUGCUUCUCAAUUG
rfam:Capsicum annuum cultivar Zunla-1 chromosome 3, whole genome shotgun sequence